rnacentral:rRNA from 1 species
UACGUAGGGGGCAAGCGUUGUCCGGAUUUAUUGGGCGUAAAGGGCGUGUAGGCGGUCAGGUAGGUCGGUUGUGAAAACUGGAGGCUCAACCUUCAGAGGUCGACCGAAACCCCCUGGCUAGAGUCCGGGAGAGGAGAGUGGAAUUCCUGGUGUAGCGGUGAAAUGCGCAGAUAUCAGGAAGAACACCCGUGGCGAAAGCGGCUCUCUGGAACGGUACUGACGCUGAGACGCGAAAGCGUGGGGAGCGAACAGG